rnacentral:rRNA from 1 species
GACGAACGCUGGCGGCGUGCCUAAUACAUGCAAGUCGAGCGAAAAGACGAGGAGCUUGCUCCUCUGUCGUUAGCGGCGGACGGGAGAGUAACACGAGGAACACCUACUUAUCUGUGGGAGAAAACCUCGGGAAAGGGGCGCUAAUCCCAGAGAAGAUCCUGCAGCGCAUGGGUCAAUAGUGAGAGACGGUGUUUCUGUCACUUAUAAAUGCUUCCCCGCCGCAUUAGCUAGUUGGUAAGGUAACGUGUUACCAAGGCAACGAUGCGUAGCAGACCUGAGAGGGUGAUCGCCCACACUGGAACUUGGACGCGGUCCAGACUCCUGCGGGAGGCAGCAGUAGGGAAUGUGCCGCAAUGGUCGAGAGCCUGACGGAGCAACGCCACGUGAGUGAUGAAGGUCUUCGGAUCGUAAAACUCUGUUAUUAGGGAAGAACAAAUGUGUAAGUAACUAUGCACGUCUUGACGGUACCGAAUCAGAAAGCCACGGCUAACUACGUG